GACUGAACACAUGUGACACAUUCUGGACUUGUGUUUGCAUUUAAACAGGAAUUAGAUUUGUGCUUUCAAUUGUGGUCUUUUUCCAACUUUCCCCCACCCUUUGUCUUUCUUUUUAUUUUAGUCUCCCAUCCCCUCCCGAUAUUUUUUUUCUCCAACUGUCUCAUACUUGGUAGAUGACAUGAUCACUUGCAACCUCCCUCCAUCAAAUAUUCACCCUCUAUCUCAACCACAAUUCAGUUGAACAAAUACAUUCUGCAAUAGAAAGGAACAAAACUAAGAGUUAUUGAGCUCCCACAAGGCACUAGGUGUGAUGCAAAAGUCCAAAAUACAGACAGACAAGCUCUCUGCACCCAGAGAGCUCCCCUGCAGCCUGGGAGCCUGAGCUGGUGUUACAUCUGUCUCACACACAGGCCUCCCAAGCAGUGAAGGUGUAUUAACUAAGUAUGAAAGGUCCAGAGAGCCUUAAAGAACAUGAGAGCCGAAGUCUGGCCCAUGAAGAAAUUCUCCCAUAGCAGGCCACUGAAAGAUGAUUACCGUCCCUUGUGGAAAGAAUUGCAGUCCCAGCUGAUUGAUGUGCAUCAAUGACAUGUUGAUGUCAAAGAAGACGAUGUAAGCCGAGUGUCAUGGAUGCCCAUAAUCCUGGUUGUUCAGGAGACUGAGGCAGGAGGAUCCCUUGAGCCAAGAAGUUCAAGACUAGUCUGG
rnacentral:lncRNA from 1 species